CUGGACUGGUUUACAUACAACAUUCUUCAUUUAGGAAUAGGUAAAGACCUCCUUUUUCAGCAGUCAGCAGAUCAAGACCUCGGCUGUUCUGGAGGACAACUGUGGCUAGGGAACUUACCUGAGCUUGAAGAAGGGAUAGCGAUUGAGUUAAUUCUGCAGUGGUAGCAGAGACAUCAUUAGAGUGGCUACAGAAGGUGAGGAUUGAAGUGGUAAGGCCUGCUAUGCCUGUGCCGAUACCGUAGAAAUUCCUAGCCCUACAAGUAAGGGGAUCAACGGAAUGACCCACUUGUAUUGUGUUGGGACCACAAGGGGAACAAGGAGGCUUUUGUCUCUGUUGGCAAACUGAAUUUUGGCAGUAAGGAAAAGUAGGGUAAAAGCGUCUGUCCAGUUGGUGGGAAGGCAGAUGUAAGAAGAAGAACCACAGAGGAAAAGAGUCUGUGGCUUAGACAGAACUGCAAAUGUAAACUGAAAAGGUUACGAAAGGAGAGAGCAACCACAUUUGUCAAAGAGAUUUUUUUAUGCCAUGGGCCAGUAUGAUCGUCACAGCAGGCAACAUACCUGGAGUUUCACUCUUGUUACCCAGGCUGGAGUGCAAUGGUACGAUCUCGGCUCACCACAACUUCCGCCUCCUAGGUUCAAGCAAUUCUCCUGCCUCAGCCUCCUAAGUAGCUGGGAUGUCCUCCUGUAUCUCAAAAGAACAUGUGGUAUGUACCAUCAGGUACACACACCUGGAGAUUAUCAGUCUAGCAAAAGUAAUCAACAUCCACAUAGGAGGGAAAAGCAAAUCAACAAUACCAGAAAUGGAAUUUAUCCAUCAUCAGUCCCAGAUCUCUGAGGAAAAGGAUGAUGGCUGAAUGGCUAAAUGGACUAGCAGUUUUCAGAGAGAAUUCCCUUCCCAAGGGCUGGACACAGACUAUUUAAAACCACUGUGAAAGAGUCAACAGGAUUAACAUGGAGUCAACUUCCUUGGGAAAUGGAGCCAAAGAGAUUUGAAGGAGACAGAAUACUUCAAGGCAAUCACACUAGUAGUGAAAAUCUCCAGACUUACUGGUCCUGUCACAUCUAAUUUAACUGAUGGCAUGAACAUUAAACAGGACUACAAAGACAUUUUUUAUGAGCCUAAAGUCUUUUUUUACUUCCUGAAAGCUUAGGAUAUUUCCUUUUUUUUUUUUUUUUCAAACAAAAACUUAAAUGAAAUCCAUCAUAAAAACCUGGAAACACCUUCUAUUUAUUUAGACAUACAUGCAAGAAGAUUAGCACCU
rnacentral:lncRNA from 1 species